rnacentral:rRNA from 1 species
AGAGUUUGAUCCUGGCUCAGGAUGAACGCUGGCGGCGUGCUUAACACAUGCAAGUCGAACGAUGAUCCCAGCUUGCUGGGGGAUUAGUGGCGAACGGGUGAGUAACACGUGAGUAACCUGCCCUUAACUCUGGGAUAAGCCUGGGAAACUGGGUCUAAUACCGGAUAUGACUCCUCAUCGCAUGGUGGGGGGUGGAAAGCUUUAUUGUGGUUUUGGAUGGACUCGCGGCCUAUCAGCUUGUUGGUGAGGUAAUGGCUCACCAAGGCGACGACGGGUAGCCGGCCUGAGAGGGUGACCGGCCACACUGGGACUGAGACACGGCCCAGACUCCUACGGGAGGCAGCAGUGGGGAAUAUUGCACAAUGGGCGAAAGCCUGAUGCAGCGACGCCGCGUGAGGGAUGACGGCCUUCGGGUUGUAAACCUCUUUCAGUAGGGAAGAAGCGAAAGUGACGGUACCUGCAGAAGAAGCGCCGGCUAACUACGUGCCAGCAGCCGCGGUAAUACGUAGGGCGCAAGCGUUAUCCGGAAUUAUUGGGCGUAAAGAGCUCGUAGGCGGUUUGUCGCGUCUGCCGUGAAAGUCCGGGGCUCAACUCCGGAUCUGCGGUGGGUACGGGCAGACUAGAGUGAUGUAGGGGAGACUGGAAUUCCUGGUGUAGCGGUGAAAUGCACAGAUAUCAGGAGGAACACCGAUGGCGAAGGCAGGUCUCUGGGCAUUAACUGACGCUGAGGAGCGAAAGCAUGGGGAGCGAACAGGAUUAGAUACCCUGGUAGUCCAUGCCGUAAACGUUGGGCACUAGGU